UAGCCAUGGAAUCAUUUCAUCUUUAUCUCAUCUUUAUCUUCUUCUUUUUCCAAUUAUUCAUAGUUGCUCAUGGAUGCCAUGACAAUGAAAGAGAGAGGCUCUUUUGAAGUUCAAAUCAUCCCUUGUCAUAUUCCCUCCAAAUCUUUUGUCUUCAUGGCAAGAAACUCGAAAUUGUUGCAACUGGCAUGGAGUUGAAUGCUCUCAUGAUUCGCUUCGUGUCAUUUCGAUCAAUCUCCGAGAUAAAAACCGUGAGAAUUACAUAAACGGAUAUAAUCCAACGUCUCCUACUCCACUACCAAAUGCAUCACUCAAAGCAUCCCUGAACGGGGUUAGAGGGUUGCACAACCUCAGGGUGCUACAUUUGACGCGGGUGUUGAUCUAUCCGAGGCUUCAUCAUCUUCAAAAAAACAGCUUUGGUGAACUAGUAUAGGGAAUUGUAGUGCUCUUGAAUUGUUGAAUCUUGGAACCAAGAAUCUCACUGGAAUAGUUCCAAUGGAGCUUGAACAAGCACUACAACUGAGAUUUCUUCUAUUAAAUGACAACAAACUCGAGGGCACUAUUCUUGGUUCAGUCAGUAAAUUUCAACUCUUGGAAGUUGUCAACCUAGCGGCUGGAGAAAUUGUAUGAUUAUAGUUCCGGAAUCGAUCUGUCUUGCAACAUUCUUGAAGAUAGUAUCCCAGGAGAGAUAGGUCUACUGAAAAGGCUUUCUAUGCUUAAUCUGUCACAUAAUAGCUUGUCUGGUAGAAUCCCAAAGAGUGCCGGAAACUUGACAGGCUUAGACUCCUUGGAUUUGAGAUUCAACAAAUUGUUUGGACAAAUGCCAGAGUCUUUUGCAUUGCUAGAUUCUCUUGGGUAUCUGAAUUUGUCUUACAGUAACUUGAGUGGAGGAUCCCAAGAGGACUUCACUUGGAUACAUUAAGCAGAGAGGGUUCUGCAACAGUUUGCUAUGUGGGAUCCCUACAAAUAACAUUUGUGAGGGUGAUCAGAGUUCAGUAACGAAAUAUUCAAAUAAAUAAAUCAAAACUGAAAUAUCAUGAUAAAUUUACUGGAGCCGAUGCCAGAUAAACCAAUUACCCUUACUUGCUAAUUGACCUUAAAGCUUUUGUAAGUAUAAAUAUGAUUUAACCUUAAACCUUCUUAUUUCUUUUUUUGCUUCCACAUGAAGAAUUACUAGUCUUUUUU